GAAAUGCGAUAAGUAGUGUGAAUUGCAGAAUUCAGUGAAUCAUCGAAUCUUUGAACGCACAUUGCGCCCCUUGGUAUUCCAUGGGGCAUGCCUGUUCGAGCGUCAUUUGUACCCUCAAGCUCUGCUUGGUGUUGGGUGUUUGUCCCCGUCUCCGCGCGUGGACUCGCCCCAAAGUGAUUGGCAGCCGGCGUACUGGUCCCGGAGCGCAGCACAUGUCGCGCAAACGAGUGCCUUGGUACGGCGGCGUCCAUAAGCCCCUCUCUCACGCCCUUGACCUCGGAUCAGGUAGGGAUACCCGCUGAACUUAAGC
rnacentral:misc_RNA from 1 species